CCUACGGGAGGCAGCAGUGGGGGAUAUUGCACAAUGGGGGGAACCCUGAUGCAGCGACGCCGCGUGGGUGAAGAAGCGCCUCGGCGCGUAAAGCCCUGUCAGCAGGGAAGAAAAUGACGGGACCUGAAGAAGAAGCCCCGGCUAACUACGGGCCAGCAGCCGCGGGAAUACGUAGGGGGCAAGCGUGAGCCGGAUUUACUGGGUGUAAAGGGGGCGCAGACGGCGAUGCAAGCCAGGAGUGCAAGCCCGGGGCCCAACCCCGGGACUGCUCUUGGAACUGCGUGGCGGGAUUGCAGGAGGGGCAGGCGGAAUUCCUGGUGUAGCGGUGAAAUGCGUAGAUAUCAGGAGGAACCCCUGUGGCGCCGGCGGCCUGCUGGACUGCAACUGACGUUGUGUCCCGCAAGCGUGGGGAGCAAACAGGAUUAGAUACCCUUGUAGUC
rnacentral:rRNA from 1 species